GGUGCUGCAUGGCUGUCGUCAGCUCGUGCCGUGAGGUGUUAGGUUAAGUCCUGCAACGAGCGCAACCCUCGUCGCUAGUUAUUUUCUCUAGCGAUACUGCCCGUAUAACGUGGAGGAAGGUGGGGAUGACGUCAAGUCAGCAUGGCCCUUACAUCCUGGGCUACACACACGCUACAAUGGGUGAUACAACAGGUUGCGAUAGAGCGAUCUGGAGCCAAUCCCAAAAAUCAUCCUCAGUACGGAUUGCAGGCUGCAACUGCCUGCAUGAAGUUGGAGUUGCUAGUAAACGCAGGUCAGCACACUGCGUUGAAUACGUUCUCGGGCCUU
rnacentral:rRNA from 1 species